rnacentral:rRNA from 1 species
GACGAACGCUGGCGGCGUGCUUAACACAUGCAAGUCGAGCGAGGCCCACCCUUCGGGGUGGUGUCCUAGCGGCGAACAGGUGAGUAACACGUGGGCAACCUGCCCCCGGCUCGGGGAUAACCCCAAGAAAUUGGGGCUAAUACCGGAUACGACCGCUGACCGCAUGGUCUGGUGGUGGAAAGAUUUAUCGGCUGGGGAUGGGCCCGCGGCCUAUCAGCUUGUUGGUGGGGUAGUGGCCUACCAAGGCGACGACGGGUAGCCGGCCUGAGAGGGUGACCGGCCACACUGGGACUGAGACACGGCCCAGACUCCUACGGGAGGCAGCAGUGGGGAAUAUUGCGCAAUGGGCGAAAGCCUGACGCAGCGACGCCGCGUGGGGGAUGACGGCCUUCGGGUUGUAAACCUCUUUCAGCAGGGACGAAGCCCGCAAGGGUGACGGUACCUGCAGAAGAAGCACCGGCCAACUACGUGCCAGCCGCCGCAGUAAUAC